rnacentral:lncRNA from 1 species
UUGGAUGCCAGAAAGUUCAACGCUAGGAGAAAUCACAGGGCUGGUUCCAGUUCAACCUCGUCAUUUUACAGGAAAGGAAAUGAGGCCGGGAAACGGGACAUGACAAAACUGUGAGCUGAGACUGAGGAGCGAAAUGAACCAACAUCUGUUGAAUCCUUACUAAAGGCUGAAAACUGUGCAAAGCAUAGCUACAUCCUCACAACAACUCUACGAGGAAGAUAUAUAUUGCCCCCUUUCCCAGGUCCUUCUAUAGAACCUUCUAUAGGUUCUCACCAUACAGCCUCUACUACUGGUUACACUGUGUCCGCAGAACCCUACCCUGCUUACUGAGAAGCUUGGCUGGUGAGGAGCAGGCCUGACUUCUGUUUAGGCCCAGGAACAUCCAGUCCCAGCACUGCCCACCUCUGGCUUAUCAGAGGCGGUACCAGCUCUCAUCCAGCCGCCCCAGUUAGAGACAUAGAUGUGAACCGGAUGCGGUGGCUCAAGCCUAUAAUCCCAGCACCUUGGGAGGCUGAAGCAGGUGGAUCACAAGGUCAAGAAAUCAAGACCAUCCUGGUCAACAUGGUGAAACCCUGUCUCUACUAAAAAUACAAAAAUUAGCUGGGCAUGGUGGCACGCGCCUGUAAUCUCAGCUACUCAGGAGGCUGAGGCAGGAGAAUUGCUUGAACCCAGGAGGCGAAGGUUGCGGUGACCCGAGAUCGUGCCAUUGCACUCCAACCUGGGUGACAAGAGCGAAACUCCGUCUCAAAAAAAAAAAAAAAAGAGAC